rnacentral:rRNA from 1 species
GACGAAUGCUGGCGGCGUGCUUAACACAUGCAAGUCGAACGGAAAGGCCCUGCUUUUGUGGGCGUGCCUCGAGUGGACGAACGGGAUGAGUAACACGUGAGUAACCUGCCCUUGACUUUGGGAUAACUUCAGGAAACUGGGGCUAUACCGGAUAGGAUCUCCUGCUGCAUGGUGGGGGUUGGAAAGUUUCGGCGGCUGGGGAUGGACUCGCGGCUUAUCAGCUUGUUGGUGGGGUAGUGGUUUACCAAGGCUUUGACGGGUAGCCGGCCUGAGAGGGUGACCGGCCACAUUGGGACUGAGAUACGGCCCAGACUCCUACGGGAGGCAGCAGUGGGGAAUAUUGCACAAUGGGCGGAAGCCUGAUGCAGCAACGCCGCGUGCGGGAUGACGGCCUUCGGGUUGUAAACCGCUUUCGCCUGUGACGAAGCGUGAGUGACGGUAAUGGGUAAAGAAGCACCGGCUAACUACGUGCCAGCAGCCGCGGUGAUACGUAGGGUGCGAGCGUUGUCCGGAUUUAUUGGGCGUAAAGGGCUCGUAGGUGGUUGAUCGCGUCGGAAGUGUAAUCUUGGGGCUUAACCCUGAGCGUGCUUUCGAUACGGGUUGACUUGAGGAAGGUAGGGGAGAAUGGAAUUCCUGGUGGAGCGGUGGAAUGCGCAGAUAUCAGGAGGAACACCAGUGGCGAAGGCGGUUCUCUGGGCCUUUCCUGACGCUGAGGAGCGAAAGCGUGGGGAGCGAACAGGCUUAGAUACCCUGGUAGUCCACGCUGUAAACGGUGGGUACUAGGUGUGGGGUCCAUUCCACGGGUUCCGUGCCGUAGCUAACGCUUUAAGUACCCCGCCUGGGGAGUACGGCCGCAAGGCUAAAACUCAAAGGAAUUGACAGGGCCCCGCACAAGCGGCGGAGCAUGCGGAUUAGUUUGAUGCAACGCGUAGAACCUUACCUGGGUUUGACAUGGAUCGGGAGUGCUCAGAGAUGGGGGUGCCUCUUUGGGGGUCGGAUCACAGGUGGAGCAUAGCGGCCGUCAGCUCGUGUCAUGAGAUGUAGGGUUAAGUCCCGCAACGAGCGCAACCCUUGUUCACUGUUGCCAGCACGUUAUGGUGGAGACUCAGUGGAGACCGCCGGGGACAACUCGGAGGAAGGUGGGGAUGACGUCAAGUCAUCAUGCCCCUUAUGUUCAGGGCUUCGCGCAUGCUACAAUGGCUGGUACAGAGAGUGGCGAGCCUGUGAGGGUGAGCGAAUCUCGGAAAGCCGGCCUCAGUUCGGAUUGGGGUCUACAACUCGACCUCAUGAAGUCGGAGUCGGUAGUAAUCGCAAAUCAGCAACGCUGCGGUGAAUACGUUCCUCGGGGCU